UUUAGUUGGUCUUAAUUCGUAAUUUUUAUUGUGCUUUGUAUAAUUCGUAUUAAUUCAGAUUCAUUAGUUAUGUUGAUAGAACAAAGAUUAGGAUUUGGAUCUUCCAA